AAUCUGAAUUACUUUUCCAAAACACUCGGACUCUCCGCAAAGAACUUGGUAUCAAAAAGCUUCAUUACAGCAUUGGGUUUUAACAUGUUAAGAAACGUUGGGAGCGUGCAACUCAUAUUAUAGUAAUGGUGGAACGUUUCUCUCCAGUUUUCAUUCCACAGCUUCUCCCCCGCUACUUGCGAAUAUGUCCCAGAGGAAAAAUUGCCAGCAAUUGGGAAUAACAGUUCAACGCGAUCCGAUGGCUUGAGGAUUGCAUAUCAGCAAGCCUUUUCAAAGAUCGUUUAGCCUUGGGUUUCGAAAGAAGUAAAUAACACCCAUUUCAACCGAAUACAAACCUCCUUUUUCUGAGCCUCAGGACUUCA
rnacentral:sRNA from 1 species